rnacentral:tRNA from 1 species
GGGCUCGUAGCUCAGUUUGGUUAGAGCGUUCGACUGAUAAUCGAAAGGUCAUGAGUUCAAAUCUCAUCGGGCCCA